rnacentral:rRNA from 1 species
GCGUGAGUGAUGAAGGUUUUCGGAUCGUAAAGCUCUGUUGUUAGGGAAGAACAAGUGCAAGAGUAACUGCUUGCACCUUGACGGUACCUAACCAGAAAGCCACGGCUAACUACGUGCCAGCAGCCGCGGUAAUACGUAGGUGGCAAGCGUUGUCCGGAAUUAUUGGGCGUAAAGGGCUCGCAGGCGGUUUCUUAAGUCUGAUGUGAAAGCCCCCGGCUCAACCGGGGAGGGUCAUUGGAAACUGGGAAACUUGAGUGCAGAAGAGGAGAGUGGAAUUCCACGUGUAGCGGUGAAAUGCGUAGAGAUGUGGAGGAACACCAGUGGCGAAGGCGACUCUCUGGUCUGUAACUGACGCUGAGGAGCGAAAGCGUGGGGAGCGAACAGGAUUAGAUACCCUGGUAGUCCACGCCGUAAACGAUGAGUGCUAAGUGUUAGGGGGUUUCCGCCCCUUAGUGCUGCAGCUAACGCAUUAAGCACUCCGCCUGGGGAGUACGGUCGCAAGACUGAAACUCAAAGGAAUUGACGGGGGCCCGCACAAGCGGUGGAGCAUGUGGUUUAAUUCGAAGCAACGCGAAGAACCUUACCAGGUCUUGACAUCCUCUGACAACCCUAGAGAUAGGGCUUUCCCUUCGGGGACAGAGUGACAGGUGGUGCAUGGUUGUCGUCAGCUCGUGUCGUGAGAUGUUGGGUUAAGUCCCGCAACGAGCGCAACCCUUGAUCUUAGUUGCCAGCAUUUAGUUGGGCACUCUAAGGUGACUGCCGGUGACAAACCGGGAGGAAGGUGGGGAUGACGUCAA